rnacentral:rRNA from 1 species
UACGUAGGGGGCAAGCGUUAUCCGGAUUUACUGGGUGUAAAGGGAGCGUAGACGGCAGCGCAAGUCUGGAGUGAAAUCCCAUGGCUUAACCAUGGAACUGCUUUGGAAACUGUGCAGCUGGAGUGCAGGAGAGGUAAGCGGAAUUCCUAGUGUAGCGGUGAAAUGCGUAGAUAUGUGGAAGAACACCGAUGGCGAAGGCAGCCUCCUGGGACGCAACUGACGCUCAUACACGAAAGCGUGGGGAGCAAACAGG